UACGUAGGCAGCGAGCGUUGUUCGGAGUUACUGGGCGUAAAGAGUGCGUAGGCGGUUUUCUAAGUUUGGUGUGAAAUCUCCCGGCUUAACUGGGAGGGUGCGCCGAAGACUGGAAGGCUUGAGUAUGGGAGAGGUAAGCGGAAUUCCUGGUGUAGCGGUGAAAUGCGUAGAUAUCAGGAGGAACACCUGCGGUGUAGACGGCUUCUGGACCAUAACUGACGCUGAGGCACGAAAGCGUGGGUAGCAAACAGG
rnacentral:rRNA from 1 species